rnacentral:rRNA from 1 species
UACGUAGGGGGCUAGCGUUGUCCGGAAUCAUUGGGCGUAAAGAGCGUGUAGGCGGCCCGGUAAGUCCGCUGUGAAAGUCGGGGGCUCAACCCUCGAAUGCCGGUGGAUACUGUCGGGCUAGAGUGCGGAAGAGGCGAGUGGAAUUCCUGGUGUAGCGGUGAAAUGCGCAGAUAUCAGGAGGAACACCAAUUGCGAAGGCAGCUCGCUGGGACGGUACUGACGCUGAGACGCGAAAGCGUGGGGAGCAAACAGG